ACUUGCGAGAGCUGAGAACAACAUGUGCCACACGUAGGCUAAACAACGAAACAAAAUAGCGAUGAAUCAGCAAAGUAGGAUUUAUGUGCUGAUAACUUUGCUGUGAUUGUCAGUGUACCGUCGUUUUAAGCAUAAACUACGUGUCCUUGGCGCACGGCUGCUUUCUGAGUGGUCCGCCUAGUGUGUUCCUGCCGUAACACGUCAGACAAGUCGGAAACAAGCGCCAGUUUGACUGAAUCAGUAUUGCCGGAAGACUUGGAAUUAAGGAACACAAUGCCACUCCCCAAAGCGGAAACGCAACAAAUCAAUGCUGUAUUUACC